rnacentral:lncRNA from 1 species
AAUUGCUAUCCCCACUACCACCCCCGUCGAAAUUCCCGACGACCCCCCACUUGUGCCGGCUGGAGACGGCGUAUUCGUGCUCGUCGGCGGUGGGGGACUCGACUUUGAUGUCGGAGUCGACGGCGUAGUGGAUGAAGGCGGAGGGGGGGAAGGCGGCGUAGUGGGUGAAGGCGGAGGGGGGGACGAGGGUGGAGACGGUGAGGAGGAUGGAGGUGGCGGUGGUGAGGAUGGCGGUGAGGGUGGUGAGGCAGCUGGUGGUGGUGGAGGUGUUGAGGCAGGUGGUGUGGCAGAAGGGGUUGAUGGAGGUGGUGGAGAAGUG